rnacentral:rRNA from 1 species
UUAGAUACCCUGGUAUAAGAAAUGUAUAGAAAUUAGUAAGUAAUGAAAUUUAAUAAUUUUGGCGGUUAACUUUUAAUUAGAGGAGCUUGUUGAAUUAGUAAAUACUCUUUAAAUCUUAAUUUAGUUUGUUUAUUCAUCUCCGUUAUUAGAUAAUUUUGAAUAAAGUAAUUUAUUUCAAUUUCAGGUCAAGAUGUAGCAUCUAUAAGUGAAAAUUAGCUACAAUAAAGAAUUUAUGGAUUUAAUUGAGAUUAGAUUAAAGAAAUUGAAUUUAGUUGUAAUAUGAUUUAGAAAAAUAAUAUGAAUGGAUAAAGUUAAUGUACAUAUUGCCCGUCACUUCUAACUAAAUAUUAGAAUAAGUCGUAACAAAGUA